rnacentral:rRNA from 1 species
UUGAACGCUGGCGGCAGGCCUAACACAUGCAAGUCGAGCGGAUGAAGGGAGCUUGCUCCUGGCUUCAGCGGCGGACGGGUGAGUAAUGCCUAGGAAUCUGCCUGGUAGUGGGGGAUAACGUCCGGAAACGGGCGCUAAUACCGCAUACGUCCUGAGGGAGAAAGUGGGGGAUCUUCGGACCUCACGCUAUCAGAUGAGCCUAGGUCGGAUUAGCUAGUUGGUGGGGUAAAGGCCUACCAAGGCGACGAUCCGUAACUGGUCUGAGAGGAUGAUCAGUCACACUGGAACUGAGACACGGUCCAGACUCCUAAGGGAGGCAGCAGUGGGGAAUAUUGGACAAUGGGCGAAAGCCUGAUCCAGCCAUGCCGCGUGUGUGAAGAAGGUCUUCGGAUUGUAAGGCACUCUAAGUUGGGAGGAAGGGCAGUAAGUUAAUACCUUGCUGUUUUGACGUUACCAACAGAAUAAGCACCGGCUAACUUCGUG